AGGACGUCUACAUUAGAUACCCCCGUAGUCCCAGCUGUAACCUAUGUGCGUUAGGUGUGUCAGUGACCACGUGUCACUGAGGUGCCGAAGGGAAACCGUGAAACGCACCGCCUGGGGAGUACGGUCGCAAGGCUGAAACUUAAAGGAAUUGGCGGGGAGCACCACAACGGGUGGAGCCUGCGGUUUAAUCGGACUCAACGCCGGGAAUCUCACCGGAUAAGACAGCUGAAUGAUAGUCGGGAUGAAGACUCUACUUGACUAGCUG
rnacentral:rRNA from 1 species